CAAUUUUAUCCAAGCAAUCCCCUCUCCCCAAUUUGUGUUCAACCCCUACCCUUAGUUCCUUCUUCCGCAACAUUUCAACGUUGCGUCGAUAAUGACUCUUGCAACUCCAAAGCACAACCCCCUUAGACUCCACCUCUAGACCACACAUAAAGUUACCAUCACCCGUAGUGCACAAAUGACAUUCAACCAAACCACUGACCCAUGCCAUUGCAGAUCUCUCCCCCACCUGCAUAACUCAUGUUGAGAACUUCUCCUUACACUAUUAGCCUCUCUAUUACACUGAAAAUGGUGCUUCGAGAAAAAGAAGGUGAAAGUGAAAGUUUCUUUAGUGAAUAUAUGAAAGGCCAGGGGGACUGUUUGGGGGAAGAAUUUGUUGAAUCGGACUGUGGUGAUCAAGACACUUAGGCCCUACAUUGAAUUUGGAUUCUUCCAUGGAUGGAGGUAGAGUAUAUGAUGAGGAUUAUCAGCUUCUUCUUUUGUUUCCUUCUUUUUCAUUCUUCCAAAUCUAAUUUCAUUACCAUCUACUUCCAAAACAUGCGAUUUUAAACUCCUAAUGCUGAUAUUUAUUAGAUUUUAUUUUGUUCUUUGUUGGGUUUGUAUAUUUGAGUGGGGAGAUGACUUUUUGGCAGGCUAUUGUAUUUGUUGGAUUUUAUAUAUGUUGCUUGUUGGAUUUAUAUUUUGAAUGGAUUAGGGAAUAUAUGUGC
rnacentral:misc_RNA from 1 species